UAGGGAGACCUACCCGCUUGAUUACACCGAACUACUUAUAUAGAGGUGAAUCAGUUGGUCAACCUAGGUCGAGCGAGAACGAUGGAAAACUUCUAGACUAUGUCAAGGUUUAUUCGGGCUAUUAGCUCAGGUGGUUAGAGCGCACCCCUGAUAAGGGUGAGGUCCCUGGUUCGAGUCCAGGAUGGCCCACUGCGUGGGGGUUUAGCUCAGUUGGUAGAGCGCCUGCUUUGCAAGCAGGAUGUCAGCGGUUCGAGUCCGCUAACCUCCACCAUUAGAAGAGAAGUCAGCAAGAUGUUUAGCUAGCAGCUAAGUAUAUUGCUGAAGUCUAAAGCUUCAGUAAGACCCUUGAAAAUUGCAUAGUAAGAGCAGAAAGGUAGGUAGGUUUAUCUAUUUAUUGGAGGUAGGUCAUGAGAAUGACUGAAGCCAAGGGAUAGGUAAAGCAAUCCAAGAGAGCCGAGAUUUUAGUUGAUUAAGA
rnacentral:tRNA from 1 species